rnacentral:rRNA from 1 species
CAAGACCUGCGCUUUUGGAGCGGCCGAUGCCUGAUUAGCUUGUUGGUAAGGUAAAAGCUUACCAAGGCUUCGAUCAGUAGCUGGUCUGAGAGGACGGCCAGCCACACUGGGACUGAGACACGGCCCAGACUCCUACGGGAGGCAGCAGUGGGGAAUUUUGGACAAUGGGGGCAACCCUGAUCCAGCCAUGCCGCGUGAGUGAAGAAGGCCUUCGGGUUGUAAAGCUCUUUCAGCCGGAACGAAACGGUUACGGUUAAUACCCGUGAUUACUGACGGUACCGGAAGAAGAAGCACCGGCUAACUACGUGCCAGCAGCCGCGGUAAUACGUAGGGUGCGAGCGUUAAUCGGAAUUACUGGGCGUAAAGCGUGCGCAGGCGGUUUUGUAAGUCAGAUGUGAAAGCCCCGGGCUCAACCUGGGAACU